CAGCAGCCGCGGUAAUACGUAGGGCGCAAGCGUUGUCCGGAAUUAUUGGGCGUAAAGAGCUCGUAGGCGGCUUGUCGCGUCGGAUGUGAAAGCCCGGGGCUUAACCCCGGGUCUGCAUUCGAUACGGGCAGGCUAGAGUUCGGUAGGGGAGAUCGGAAUUCCUGGUGUAGCGGUGAAAUACGCAGAUAUCAGGAGGAACACCGGUGGCGAAGGCGGAUCUCUGGGCCGAUACUGACGCUGAGGAGCGAAAGCGUGGGGAGCGAACAGGAUUAGAUACCCUGGUAGUCCACGCCGUAAACGGUGGGAACUAGGUGUUGGCGACAUUCCACGUCGUCGGUGCCGCAGCUAACGCAUUAAGUUCCCCGCCUGGGGAGUACGGCCGCAAGGCUAAAACUCAAA
rnacentral:rRNA from 1 species